GACGAACGCUGGCGGCGUGCUUAACACAUGCAAGUCGAACGGAAAGGCCCUGCUUUUGUGGGGUGCUCGAGUGGCGAACGGGUGAGUAACACGUGAGUAACCUGCCCUUGACUUUGGGAUAACUUCAGGAAACUGGGGCUAAUACCGGAUAGGAGCUCCUGCUGCAUGGUGGGGGUUGGAAAGUUUCGGCGGUUGGGGAUGGACUCGCGGCUUAUCAGCUUGUUGGUGGGGUAGUGGCUUACCAAGGCUUUGACGGGUAGCCGGCCUGAGAGGGUGACCGGCGACAUUGGGACUGAGAUACGGAGCAGACGCCUACGGGAGGCAGCAGUGGGGAAUAUUGCACAGUGGGCGGAAGCCUGAGGCAGAAACGCCGCGUGCGGGAUGACGGCCUUCGGGUUGUAAACCGCUUUAGCCUGUGACGAAGCGUGAGUGACGGUAAUGGGUAAAGAAGCACCGGCUAACUACGUG
rnacentral:rRNA from 1 species